CCCUUAGAUGUUCUGGGCCACACGCGCGCUACACUGAUGCAUUCAACGAGCCUAGCCUUGACCGAGAGGUCCGGGUAAUCUUUGAAACUGCAUCGUGAUGGGGCUAGAUUAUUGCAAUUAUUAAUCUUCAACGAGGAAUGCCUAGUAAGCGUGAUUCAUCAAAUCGCGUUGAUUACGUCCCUGCCCUUUGUACACACCGCCCGUCGCUCCUACCGAUUGAGUGUGUUGGUGAGGAGUUCGGAUUGGCUCUUAGUGGUGGUUCGCCACCACCUAGAGCUGAGAAGUUCUCCAAACCGCCCCACUUAGAGGAAGGAGAAGUCGUAACA
rnacentral:rRNA from 1 species